UGGUGGACGGGUGAGUAACGCGUGGGUAACCUGCCUCAUACAGGGGGAUAACAGUUAGAAAUGACUGCUAAUACCGCAUAAGACCACAGCACCGCAUGGUGCAGGGGUAAAAACUCCGGUGGUAUGAGAUGGACCCGCGUCUGAUUAGGUAGUUGGUGGGGUAACGGCCCACCAAGCCGACGAUCAGUAGCCGACCUGAGAGGGUGACCGGCCACAUUGGGACUGAGACACGGCCCAA
rnacentral:rRNA from 1 species